UGCUGACGACCGGCGAACGGGUGCGUAACGCGUAUAGAAUCUGCCUUGUACACUCCGCCCACCUUUAGAAAUGAAGAUUAAUACUCCAUAAUAUUGGGAAGUGGCAUCACUAUCUAAUUAAACAUUUAUGGGUACAAGAUGACUAUGCGUCCUAUUAGCUAGAUGGUAAGGUAACGGCUUACCAUGGCAACGAUAGGUAGGGGGUCUGAGAGGAUUAUCCCCCACACUGGUACUGAGACACGGACCAGACUCCUACGGGAGGCAGCAGUGAGGAAUAUUGGUCAAUGGAGGCAACUCUGAACCAGCCAUGCCGCGUGCAGGAAGACUGCCCUAUGGGUUGUAAACUGCUUUUAUACAGGAAGAAACAGUCGUACGUGUACGGCCUUGACGGUACUGUAAGAAUAAGCACCGGCUAACUCCGUGCCAGCAGCCGCGGUAAUACGGAGGGUGCAAGCGUUAUCCGGAAUCAUUGGGUUUAAAGGGUCCGCAGGCGGUCAAUUAAGUCNGAGGUGAAAUCCCAUAGACUUAACUAUGGAACUGCCUUUGAUACUGGUUGACUUGAGUUAUACGAGAAGUAAGAAUAGAAUAUA
rnacentral:rRNA from 1 species